rnacentral:lncRNA from 1 species
UUUCUUGUGUGGUGCUUCUCUGCCUGCCCGCGGGCUCUGCCGGCUCUGCGCUCAGCAUCCCCACCCGCACAGUUGUCUCUGCCGCUGGCGUUUCUGGCUAAGCUGCCUCUGAAGGAGGGGCAGGUCUGCCAUCCCUAAACACACACAGAGAAACACACACACACAUGCACACACUCCCACACACACACGAAGAUGCACCUUCCUGCAAGGCCCAGACACAGAGCCGCCAAGCCCCAGGUGCCCACACUGAGCGGCAGGGAGUGGGAGAGGGGCAGGGGCAGGAGGAGAGAGCUGCAGAGAGAAAGACUGAGGGUGCAAAACAAAUGCGGAGCCGAGCAGACAUUUCUCAGCCUGUUAAUUUCCUACAGUUCUGUUUUCCAGCCUCAGAAACAAGCUGGUUUCUGCCAGUCCACCCCCUUCCCUCUGACUGCAUUGUGCAGCUGCUGAGCAGAGAGAAGUUGCAGGGAGGAGGGGGUUCCAGAGGAGAAGCGAAGAGACUCAGGUUUUCAUACGAUUUAUCAAAGUACAGGCAAGAUGCAGAGAUGCUUCUGAAGCUGUGACCCCAAAAAGAAGCUCAACUGGGAGAUUUGCAGCCUGGACCAGUCUAACCCUACAGGUCUGGGCUUCAGGAAGAAGGGAACCUGGGGGUGCUGCAGGGAAUACUUUGGAGGAGGCUGUUUCAACGGGCUCAGCAACUCCCUCGGUUUGACCCCUGACACAAGCAUGCCUGCUGAAUCUACACCUGGACCUAAAGACUUGUAGAGUCCUUUCUGGGGCUGGAUGUUCCCACAGGACAAUUACCAGUCAUGCAUACAGAGCUUUGCUGCCCAAGGGGACUUUCUGAGGGCUGAAUAUUAUUUACUUCAACUCUCCUUUGACAAGGCACCUGAGGCCCAGAUGGGGAAAGUCACACAGGACUGUGAUGGGGCCUGAUCGAGAUCUCCUGAAUCUUCCCAGUGCUGCUUGCUGUGCUUUGUGGCCCUUCCUCUGGCUGUAACUGUAAUCCCACCUAUACCUUAGGUUGCACAUGCUCAUACAGCGCUUACCAUGAGCCACCCUCUGAGGCAGGUACUGUUAUGAUUCCCAUUUUACAGCUGGGGAGGCUGAGGCUCAGAGAGGUUAAAUACUUCCCUAAGCUAGUAUGUGGUCGAGCUAGAAUUUGAAACCAGAAUGUCCUGCCCCAGAAUCUAGACUCCUAACCACUGGGCUGUGCUACCUCUCUUCUCUGGAAGCUUCACCUGUACCUGGACACAUUUACCUUCACUUUCCUCUUCUCCUGUCCUUAGCUUUCACCACCACCUUCACAAUUUCUCAUUUCAGGCUAAGCCAGAUAAUCACCCCAGACACAAGGGCAGGCUCAGCACUGCUAUCAAAAUCCCUUUUCCUUUUAUCUUCUCCAUCACCAUCUUAGCCUUAUCGCGUUCACUAUCAUGAUCAACUUCACCAUUUAUAAAGUCUCUAAUUGCAAAUGACUGUGUACCUAUAGACCAAUGCAGAUCUAACCCCUGCCUUGGGAUGGGAGGAUGGGGCUUACAGUCAAACCAAACAGCAGUUUAAGCCACAUAUACUCCUCCCUUUGUAAGUAAAGGUACGAAACCAGAAUGUGGAAGGCAGUCUUCUUCUUAAGAGAUUUUUCUGCAAUAAGAUGGAGGUGGUGAAGGAGAAGUUUCGAACAGCCAAAGAGUGCCUGCUGAGGGAAAUUAAUCAAUGGCCAAGAAGAUUGCUUGUCAUCUUUCAAUAUCUAUAAGAAAUAACGAGCCUCCAGAGAGGGAGCUAGAGCUCCAAGGGAAAAGAAGACCAGUGGGUACUCUGUCCAACUCAUGCCUCUAAGGAGCUACAGGAGAAAGAUGGAGCCAUAGGCAGCUUCCACCCCUUUGGAUGGUGGCCAACACCCAUCUCCCCAGCCACAGUAUCUCUCACAGCCCCUGGGGAAGCCAGAAGCAAGCAACACUGCCCAGGAGUUUUAAAACUGAUUCUUCCCUUAAGCUCAAGUCCCACCCACCUCCCAACCCAGUGAGCUUGCUGGUUGGCUGUCCAUGAGUGUUGGCUGCCAGAUGUGCCAUCAUCCGGCACAGGAUGUACAGGAAAGAGGGCAAUGGCUUCCCGGACCAGAGUCUCCACCCAGAAUUCCAGCCAAGGCCCCAGAGCUCCCAGGACCUGGAGAAUUUGUUCCCCCUGGUUGUGUUUGGAAUUGGCUGGUUUUCUGGGCACCAGGCCCAGCUCAGUUUAAUUUUUGUUUAUUUUUAUGUACAGAUUCUCUUCUGUUUGGGGAUGAGCUUUGUGUAA